GGGUAAAUGAUGAAAACUUAUAUGUCUUGAAGAGAGCUAAUGACCUAAGAAUCAUGCUCAGUAGGAUUGCACUGGGGCCC
ensembl:snoRNA SNORD115 Small nucleolar RNA SNORD115